GGGUUGUGAGGUUAAGCGACUAAGCGUACACGGUGGAUGCCCUGGCAGUCAGAGGCGAUGAAGGACGUGCUAAUCUGCGAAAAGCGUCGGUAAGGUGAUAUGAACCGUUAUAACCGGCGAUGUCCGAAUGGGGAAACCCAGUGCAAUUCGUUGCACUAUCGUUAACUGAAUACAUAGGUUAACGAGGCGAACCGGGGGAACUGAAACAUCUAAGUACCCCGAGGAAAAGAAAUCAACCGAGAUUCCCCCAGUAGCGGCGAGCGAACGGGGAGCAGCCCAGAGUCUGAAUCAGCUUGUGUGUUAGUGGAACGGUCUGGAAAGUCCGACGGUACAGGGUGAUAGUCCCGUACACCAAAAUGCACAGGUUGUGAACUCGAAGAGUAGGGCGGGACACGUGGUAUCCUGUCUGAAUAUGGGGGGACCAUCCUCCAAGGCUAAAUACUCCUGACUGACCGAUAGUGAACCAGUACCGUGAGGGAAAGGCGAAAAGAACCCCGGCGAGGGGAGUGAAAAAGAACCUGAAACCGUGUACGUACAAGCAGUGGGAGCACCUUCGGGUGUGACUGCGUACCUUUUGUAUAAUGGGUCAGCGACUUAUAUUCUGUAGCAAGGUUAACCGUAUAGGGGAGCCGCAGGGAAACCGAGUCUUAACUGGGCGUUAAGUUGCAGGGUAUAGACCCGAAACCCGGUGAUCUAGCCAUGGGCAGGUUGAAGGUUGGGUAACACUAACUGGAGGACCGAACCGACUAAUGUUGAAAAAUUAGCGGAUGACUUGUGGCUGGGGGUGAAAGGCCAAUCAAACCGGGAGAUAGCUGGUUCUCCCCGAAAGCUAUUUAGGUAGCGCCUCGUGAACUCAUCUUCGGGGGUAGAGCACUGUUUCGGCUAGGGGGUCAUCCCGACUUACCAACCCGAUGCAAACUACGAAUACCGAAGAAUGUUAUCACGGGAGACACACGGCGGGUGCUAACGUCCGUCGUGAAGAGGGAAACAACCCAGACCGCCAGCUAAGGUCCCAAAGUCAUGGUUAAGUGGGAAACGAUGUGGGAAGGCACAGACAGCCAGGAUGUUGGCUUAGAAGCAGCCAUCAUUUAAAGAAAGCGUAAUAGCUCACUGGUCGAGUCGGCCUGCGCGGAAGAUGUAACGGGGCUAAACCAUGCACCGAAGCUGCGGCAGCGACACUAUGUGUUGUUGGGUAGGGGAGCGUUCUGUAAGCCUGCGAAGGUGUGCUGUGAGGCAUGCUGGAGGUAUCAGAAGUGCGAAUGCUGACAUAAGUAACGAUAAAGCGGGUGAAAAGCCCGCUCGCCGGAAGACCAAGGGUUCCUGUCCAACGUUAAUCGGGGCAGGGUGAGUCGACCCCUAAGGCGAGGCCGAAAGGCGUAGUCGAUGGGAAACAGGUUAAUAUUCCUGUACUUGGUGUUACUGCGAAGGGGGGACGGAGAAGGCUAUGUUAGCCGGGCGACGGUUGUCCCGGUUUAAGCAUGUAGGCUGGUUGUCCAGGCAAAUCCGGAUAAUCAAGGCUGAGGUGUGAUGACGAGGCACUACGGUGCUGAAGUAACAAAUGCCCUGCUUCCAGGAAAAGCCUCUAAGCAUCAGGUAACAUUAAAUCGUACCCCAAACCGACACAGGUGGUCAGGUAGAGAAUACCAAGGCGCUUGAGAGAACUCGGGUGAAGGAACUAGGCAAAAUGGUGCCGUAACUUCGGGAGAAGGCACGCUGGUGUGUAGGUGAAGUCCCUGCGGAUGGAGCUGAGACCAGUCGAAGAUACCAGCUGGCUGCAACUGUUUAUUAAAAACACAGCACUGUGCAAACACGAAAGUGGACGUAUACGGUGUGACGCCUGCCCGGUGCCGGAAGGUUAAUUGAUGGGGUUAUCCGUAAGGAGAAGCUCUUGAUCGAAGCCCCGGUAAACGGCGGCCGUAACUAUAACGGUCCUAAGGUAGCGAAAUUCCUUGUCGGGUAAGUUCCGACCUGCACGAAUGGCGUAAUGAUGGCCAGGCUGUCUCCACCCGAGACUCAGUGAAAUUGAACUCGCUGUGAAGAUGCAGUGUACCCGCGGCAAGACGGAAAGACCCCGUGAACCUUUACUAUAGCUUGACACUGAACAUUGAGCCUUGAUGUGUAGGAUAGGUGGGAGGCUUUGAAGCGUGGACGCCAGUCUGCGUGGAGCCAACCUUGAAAUACCACCCUUUAAUGUUUGAUGUUCUAACGUUGGCCCCUUACCGGGGUUGCGGACAGUGUCUGGUGGGUAGUUUGACUGGGGCGGUCUCCUCCCAAAGCGUAACGGAGGAGCACGAAGGUUAGCUAAUCCUGGUCGGACAUCAGGAGGUUAGUGCAAUGGCAUAAGCUAGCUUGACUGCGAGCGUGACGGCGCGAGCAGGUGCGAAAGCAGGUCAUAGUGAUCCGGUGGUUCUGAAUGGAAGGGCCAUCGCUCAACGGAUAAAAGGUACUCCGGGGAUAACAGGCUGAUACCGCCCAAGAGUUCAUAUCGACGGCGGUGUUUGGCACCUCGAUGUCGGCUCAUCACAUCCUGGGGCUGAAGUAGGUCCCAAGGGUAUGGCUGUUCGCCAUUUAAAGUGGUACGCGAGCUGGGUUUAGAACGUCGUGAGACAGUUCGGUCCCUAUCUGCCGUGGGCGCUGGAGAAUUGAGGGGGGCUGCUCCUAGUACGAGAGGACCGGAGUGGACGCAUCACUGGUGUUCGGGUUGUCAUGCCAAUGGCACUGCCCGGUAGCUAAAUGCGGAAGAGAUAAGUGCUGAAAGCAUCUAAGCACGAAACUUGCCCCGAGAUGAGUUCUCCCUGAGACUUUAAGUCUCCUGAAGGAACGUUAAAGACGAUGACGUUGAUAGGCCGGGUGUGUAAGCGCAGCGAUGCGUUGAGCUAACCGGUACUAAUGAACCGUGAGGCUUAACCUUACAACGCCGAAG
rnacentral:rRNA from 1 species